GAUGAACGCUAGCGGCAGGCUUAAUACAUGCAAGUCGAGGGGCAGCAUGACUGUAGCAAUACAGUUGAUGGCGACCGGCAAAACGGGUGCGGAACACGUACAGAACCUUCCUUCGAGCGGGGAGUAGCCCAGAGAAAUUUGGAUUAAUACCCCAUAGUAUAUUAGAGUGGCAUCACUUUGAUAUUAAAGAUUUAUCACUUGAAGAUGGCUGUGCGGCUGAUUAGGUAGUUGGCGGGGGUAACGGCCCACCAAGCCUUCGAUCAGUAACUGGUGUGAGAGCACGACCAGUCACACGGGCGACUGAGACACGGGCCCGACUCCUACGGGAGGCAGCAGUAAGGAAUAUUGGUCAAU
rnacentral:rRNA from 1 species